UAUAUAUAUAUAUAUAUAUAUUAUAUAUAUACGUAUGUUGUUGAGGCUCUAUAGAUGGGGCUUGUUCACCAUGUAGCCUUAUUCCUCCACAGGAUGAAUAUCUGUUUGAUGUCAAAUUGCACUGAUUGUAAAUCACCGUUUUCACCUGUGUUCAUUCUGCCCAGCAUUUCUAUCUGUGCAUAAACUUAUAGAUUCCAUUUUUGUUUCAUUCUCAGGAAUGCUCUUAUCUGUGUUUGUAUUGGUAAAAGGAGUAGCUGAAUCAGGGUGGUUAACUAGGUCUGUAGAUGUAGGCAAUGCACAUAGUCUACGGCAUUUACUAUCUGUCCUUAGGACCACACACUCUUCACUUUGCACGCCACCUUUUUUCAUGCAAAUUGAUUUAGAAAUGACAUUUAUCGUGCAGGGUUUCCACUUGGAAGCCAACCGCACCACGAGGGCUGACAAAAAAAUGUCCACCGAGCCAGCGACAGCUCAAUUUAUGCGCUCGGAGGAAGACUGAGUGGAAAAGAACACACAGCAGAUAAACAAUUACCACAGCCUUAGAUUGACUAGAGCUCUGCUUUGUAUGUAGCUGCACAUAUAUCAUGAAUAUGUAUCAGUUGCCGCAUAUCAUGGUGCAUUCUAAAGUCUAACACCCAUGAAAAUCCAUUUAAGCAGCAUAAUAGGAUCUACUUGAUCUACUUGACAUGCUAAAUCUUAUAAAUAUACAUGAGAUUAUUUUUUUUUUGGCACGAAUGUAUUUUUCCUUAUUUUUAAAUUGCAUGAAAAAAGCAAGGAUAUGUUAUUCCGAGAGGAAUAAAAUGUGGAUGUAUUAAUAGAGAGUUUUUUAAAAAAUCAGCAAACAGUCCAAUUUACUGUUAAUUAUCAUUAAGCACAUUGAAAUGACACAUUAGCAUUUCAGACAGACUAAAGAAAACAAUUCAGUGGCUCUCCUCUUGAUCACCCUGUAAUUAUCAUUCUUUUGGCUGUGCUUUAAUGAACAGAGAGUGUAGGAAAAGCUCAUAAGUACAUGUUAUGGCCUUUUACCACUAGGGUACCCACAAAACUGAAAAAUGAUAUGUCUGGUUCACUAUAUUUUCUGCUUCCUGGCAUAAGUAUAGGUUUGUUUUAAGAGGGAAUGUUAAUUAAUUGUAAAAGGCUUUAUUUAACUAAACAAGAGAUUUGCUUUAUUUUAUUUAUUUUAUUUAUUUAUUUAUUUUAUUUGACAUUUUCUGGUUUAAAAAAAUCCUGCGCUGCUUUAUUAUAUGCUCUUAUACCACAUCAAUCCAUUUAAGGGAGCAUUAAUAAAUGCACAUUAUAUUUGCAGUGAAAUUGAUCAUAUAAAUAAUCAUUCAGACUGUAAUAUCUAACAGAAAUAAUAAAUUGUUGUAUCUUAGCUCUUUUUAAUAAUCCCACACCAUGAAUACCCCAAGCAUGCGGUGUUUUUUUUUUUUUUUUUUUUUUAAUAAAUAACGCUAGAAAAUAAUUCUUAAUAUUCCAAAUCAUCCAAAUGAAAAGGAUAUAACAGCAUGCAGGCUGCAGCAACAGACACACAAAAAAAGCACUGAGCUCAUAUUCCCCUCCCCCUAAACAACUGGAAUAUCUGUCCUUUAUUGAUUAUCUAUGCUACUGAUUAUAUUCAUAAUCAUUUGGGCAUUAUAUCAUACUCAUUAUAUUCAUCAAAAUUUUCUCCACUGAAAAAAAUAUUCUAGUAAAGAAUAUGCAUUGUGCUGUUAUGAUGUCAUUUACAUUGAUUAAAAUGUUUUAAUAGGAAGAUUUUGCUUGUUGUGGAUUCAGAUUUUAUUUAAUAUUGUUGAUAAAUAACCUCAUUGAGAAGUGUAAUGAUAUCACUUGGUCUCUUCUACUGGCAUUAUUCAAAUGACCUCAGUGAGUACACUUUGGAGAAUACUGUGUUUAUAUACCACAAGGAUCCUCAAACAGAAUGCCUUUUAUAUUCAUAUGUUUAUAUUUUUUUAAAUAAAUAAAGCUGUAUUUAAGUGAAAUGUAUGCAUUUGUAUAUUUUGUCUCAGGUGUAAGAAUGUUGGUUUUAAUAUAAAUAUUCAGAGACCUAGUGCAGUAUAAUAAU
ensembl:lncRNA